UUGCUUUCAAGGAUUUUCAAGUUCUUCGUCUCAAAGCUUUGUCAUUCAUCUUUCACGGUGUGUACCCUCAAUCCCCGGCUUGAACGAUCCCUACGUAUUUAAUGCUAACAACUAAAUUUUUCAGGAUUAAAUUGCGCGCUUACUUCUAGCGUAUCAGAAAAAAGUAAAUUUCUAAGCGCAAAUGGCUUCCAAGAAAUUAAUUUUCAAGACCGAAACAAUGAUGUUUAAUGGUCGAUUGUUUUUUAAUGUCCCUACGAACCUCUUUUUUGGAGUAGCACAAACCCCCACAGUUCGACUUAAUUAUCCCAAGUUAUAAGAAAGAUGGAAGGUAGAAGAAACUAAGAAAGGAUAUUAGAAUCCCCGAAUACAAAAAGCAAAUAUUAAAUUGAAAGCAGCAACUCUUAUUAAAAACUUACCAGCAACUCUUAUUAAAAACUUACUUGGAAUAAGGUUGCUUCGUUUGAUGCUUUGAAGCGGCAGCUUGACGUAGAAGUGCUACAGCGGUGUAGCAGCACUUGACGGUGGAGCAGUGGCGCACGGUGGUGUAAUGGUGGCACACGGAGGUGGUGCGGUGGUGCAUGAUGGUGACGCACGGUGGUGAUGCUCAUAGAGGGUAGAAGUUUUAGGAUUUUUCUAGGAUUUAGGCUAUUUGAAUCAGAGUUAGAAUUUCAUGCUGAUAACGUGUUGUAGAAUAAAGGAAAAAAUGAUUUUUUUUUCCUUGUUUGCUUAGUAAUUUAGUUCCAAUUACCAACUUUGAUUACUAGUUAGCCACUAAUCUUCUGAAGUACAAUAAAAUGGGAUGUAAAUAACCGUAUUGAUUGUCAUGCAAUAGGCGUAAAAUAACGCUCAAAUCAAUACAACAUAUUAAAUUAGUAAUAUAUACGGAAUUUACAAACGACAGAAAAAAUUUAUAUAUAUGGAAGUUGUCCAAAACAUCUUUUUCUUUA